ensembl:lncRNA
GCAUUCUACUACAUGAGGUUAACUAUCUUAAUAAAAUAAAAGUGAUAUUAGAAGUGUGAAGUAAGCAUCCUUUUUAUAAUCAGAACUUUUUCUUUCCACAUUUUCCAUUUGGAGUUUUAAAAGGAUAAAAUUCUAGGCUGGGCGCGGUGGCUCAUACCUGUAAUCCCAGCACUUUGGGAGGCCAAGGCAGGUGGAUCACUUGAGGUCAGGAGUUGGAGACCAGCCUGGCCAACAUGGUGAAGCCCCAUCUCUACCAAAAAUAUAAAACUAGCUGGGCAUGAUGGCAUGCGCCUGUAAUCCCAGUUACUUGUGAGGCUGAGGCAAGAGAAUCACUUGAACCCAGGAGGCGGAGGUUGCAGUGAGCCAAGAUCACACCACUGCACUCCAGCCUGGGAGACAGAGUGAGACCCUGACACAAAAUGAAUAAAUAAGUAUCAAAACAAAAGGACGAAAUUCUAGAAUAAAUCAUAUAAAUUUGCUGAAUUUUGUGUUUUCCUUCGAUGUAUGACUUUUUUUUUUUUUUUUUUUUUUUUUGAGACAGAGUCUCACUCUGCUCCCCUGGCUGGAGUGCAAUGGCAUGAUCUUGGCUCACUGUAGCCUCCACCUCCUGGGUUCAAGCGAUUCUCCUGCUCAGCCUCCUUUAUAUUUUAUACAAAUAUAAAAAUUUUUGUAUUUUUAGCAGAGAUAGGGUGUCACCAUGUUGGCCAGGCUGGUCUCGAACUCCUGACCUCAAAUGAUUCAUCCACCUUGGCCUCUCAUAGUGCUGGAAUUACAGGUACACCUGGCCAAUGUAUGACUGUUACAUAUUUCUUCUAUUCUAUUAUAGUCUUUAUGCAUACGAUUCUGUCUUGUCUUACAGAUGAGGGAAGAGUUAAUGUGAAUGUGGUGAUGGAUGAAGGAUAUCUUUUUACAGGUGAGAAGGUUGAUGCUAGGAACCUGGAAAAUUUUCUGGAAAAUAUGGGGAUAAAUCUCACAGAAGAUAAAGGCAUGCAACUGCUGAAUAAUCUUCCAAUUGAUGCCAAAGGAAAGGUAUAUGUGAACAGAUUGAUGAAAGAAUUGAGAGGUCUUGAAGGUGAGUGAUAAGUAAGAUAAAAAGGCAGGUAAAACUGAGGUCCUCAAGCUUUACUGUUGUUUUCAAAAACCCUUGCUAUUUCACAAUUUUCAGAUUAUUAAUCCUACUGUCCCAACUGUUUAUUAAUUCAUUGUUUAUCCUUAUGUGCUUUAAGCACACUGCAAUCACUAAAAUGGUUUAACUACAGUAGACUCAAAAACAGUGGUUCCCAAAUAAAGUUGUGCAUCAGAAUCACCAAGAAAAAAACACUGUUUUAGCAUUCAGAUCACUAGGCCCUUUUUCUGUCAUACUGAUCUUGGAUUUCUAGAGCUAGUACCUAGAAACACGUUAUUAAAAAGUUUUGAGGAGGAGGGACCAAGAUGGCCCAAUAGGAAGAGCUCUGGUCUACAGGUCCAGCAAGACCAUCACAGAAGGUGGGUGAUUUCUCCUUUUCCAAUUGAGGUACCCAGUUCAUCUUAUUGGGACUGGUUGGGCAGUGGGUCCAACCCAUGGAGGGCAAGCAGAAGCAAGGUAGGGCAUUGCUUCACCCAGGAAGUGCAAGGAGCCAGGGACCUCCCUCCCCACAUCCAAGGGAAGCCGUGAGGAACUGUGCUACCCCGCUGGGUUACUACACUUUUCCCACAGUUUUUGCAAUCUGCAGAUCAGGAGAUUCCUUCAUGUGCCUACACCACCAGGGCCCUGGGUUUCAAGCACAAAACUGGGCAGCUAUUUGGGCAGACACUGAGCUAGCUGCAGGAGUAUUUUUUUGAACCCCAGUAGUGCCUGGAACCCCAGUGAGACAGAACCAUUCACUUCUCUGGAAAGCGGGCUGAAGCCAGGGAGCCAAGUGGUCUCGCUCAGCAGGUCCCAGUCCCAUGGAACCCAGCAAGCUAAGAACCACUGGCUUGAAAUUCUCACUGCCAGCACAGCAGUCUGAAGUCAAACUGGGAUGAUCAAGCUUGGUAGAGGGGGGAGCGUCUGCCAUUAUUGAGGCUUUAGUAGGUAGUUUUACCCUGACAGUGCUAAGGAAGCUGGGAGGUCUGGGGUGGGCACAGCAAAGCAGCUGUGGCCAGACUGCUUCUCUAGAUUCCUUCUCACUGGGCAUGGCAUCUCUGAAGGAAAGGUAACAGCCCCAGUCAGGGGCCUACAGACAAAAUCCCCAUCUCCCUGGGACAGAGCACCUGGGGGAAGGGGUGGCUGUGGGCCACAGCUUCAGCAGAUUUAAUCAUUCCUGCCUGCUGUCUCUGAAGAGAGCAGCUGAUCCUGACAAGAGGGAUUCUCCUAGCACAGCACACCAGCUCUGCUAAUGGACAGACUGCCUCCUCAGGUGGGUCCUUUACCCCUGUGCCUCCUGACUGGGAGAAAUUGCCCAACAGGGGUCGACAGACAUCUCAUACAAGAGAGCUCCAGGCCAGUGCCCCUCUGGGACGAAGCUUCCAGAGGAAGGAGCAGGGAGCAAUCUUUGCUGUUCUGCAGUCUCCACUGGUGAUACCCAGGCAAACAGGGUCUGGAGUGGACCUCCAACAAACUUCAGCAGACCUGCAGAAGAGGGGCCUGACUUUUAGAAGAAAAACUAACAAACAGAAAGCAACAACAUCAACAUCAACAUAAAGGACCCCCACACAAAAACCCUAUCCAAAGGUCAUCAGCCUCAAAGAUCAA